rnacentral:tRNA from 1 species
GAGCCCGUAGCCCAGCGGAUAAGGCGUCGGCCUCCGGAGCCGGAGAGCGUGGGUUCGAAUCCCACCGGGCUCGCCA